GCGUAGAUAAUCUACCCUUUAGCGGGGGAUAACCAAGAGAAAUUUUGGCUAAUACCGCAUACGUAGCAUGAAAUGGAAAAGUGCUAGAAAGGAUGCUUCGGCAUUCACUAAAGGAUGAGUCUGCGUAGCAUUAGCUUGUUGGUGGGGUAAUGGCCUACCAAGGCAACGAUGCUUAGCGGGUCUGAGAGGAUGAUCCGCCACACUGGAACUGAGACACGGUCCAGACUCCUACGGGAGGCAGCAGUGGGGAAUAUUGCGCAAUGGGGGAAACCCUGACGCAGCAAUGCCGCGUGAGUGAGG
rnacentral:rRNA from 1 species